UGGGGGAUAUUGCACAAUGGGCGAAAGCCUGAUGCAGCGACGCCGCGUGGGGGAUGAAGGCUUUCGGGUUGUAAACCUCUUUCGCUAUCGAACAAGGCCCGCUUAGGGUGGGUUGAGGGUAGGUGGAGAAGAAGCGCCGGCUAACUACGUGCCAGCAGCCGCGGUAAUACGUAGGGCGCGAGCGUUGUCCGGAAUUAUUGGGCGUAAAGGGCUUGUAGGCGGCUUGUUGCGCCUGCUGUGAAAACGCGGGGCUUAACUUCGCGCGUGCAGUGGGUACGGGCAGGCUUGAGUGUGGUAGGGGUGACUGGAAUUCCAGGUGUAGCGGUGGAAUGCGCAGAUAUCUGGGGGAAAACCGAUGGCGAAAGCAGGUCACUGGGCCAUUACUGACGCUGAGGAGCGAAAGCAUGGGUAGCGAACAGG
rnacentral:rRNA from 1 species